rnacentral:tRNA from 1 species
AAUUAGUUGGCAGAUGAAUGCACCUGAUUUAGGCUCAGCCCAUGAGGUGAAUUCCUCACUAAUUA